UACGUAGGGUGCGAGCGUUAAUCGGAAUUACUGGGCGUAAAGCGUGCGCAGGCGGUUUGCUAAGACCGAUGUGAAAUCCCCGGGCUUAACCUGGGAACUGCAUUGGUGACUGGCAGGCUAGAGUAUGGCAGAGGGGGGUAGAAUUCCACGUGUAGCAGUGAAAUGCGUAGAGAUGUGGAGGAAUACCGAUGGCGAAGGCAGCCCCCCUGGGAUAACACUGACGCUCAUGCACGAAAGCGUGGGGAGCAAACAGG
rnacentral:rRNA from 1 species